UAGGGAAUCUUCGGCAAUGGACGAAAGUCUGACCGAGCAACGCCGCGUGAGUGAAGAAGGUUUUCGGAUCGUAAAACUCUGUUGUUAGAGAAGAACAAGGACGUUAGUAACUGAACGUCCCCUGACGGUAUCUAACCAGACAGCCACGGCUAACUACGUGCCAGCAGCCGCGGUAAUACGUAGGUGGCAAGCGUAGUGCGGAUGUAUUGGGCGUAAAGCGAGCGGAGGCGGUUUCUUAAGUCUGAUGUGAAAGCCCCCGGCUCAACCGGGGAGGGUGAUUGGAAACUGGGAGACUUGAGUGCAGAAGAGGGGAGUGGAAUUCGAUGUGUAGCGGUGAGAUGCGUAGAUGUAUGGAGGAACACCAGUGGCGAAGGCGGCUCUCUGGUCUGUAACUGACGCUGAGGCUCGGAAGCGUGGGGAGAAAACAGG
rnacentral:rRNA from 1 species